ACUCCUACGGGAGGCAGCAGUGGGGAAUAUUGCACAAUGGGCGAAAGCCUGAUGCAGCCAUGCCGCGUGUGUGAAGAAGGCCUUCGGGUUGUAAAGCACUUUCAGCGAGGAGGAAAGGUUAGUACGGUUAAUACCGUCAGCUGUGACGUUACUCGCAGAAGAAGCACCGGCUAACUCCGUGCCAGCAGCCGCGGUAAGUACGGAGGGUGCGAGCGUUAAUCGGAAUUACGUGGGCGUAAAGCGCAUGCAGGCGGCCAAGUCAGUCAGAUGUAGAAACGCCCCGGGUCUUAACCGUGGAAUUGCAUUUAGAACUGCUUGGCUAGAGUCCUUGAGAGGGGGUAGAA
rnacentral:rRNA from 1 species